GCCUAGAUGAAAUUGUUUGGAAGGUAAAAGUGAUAAGUUGAAAAAUUCUUAUUGUCUAUUUGGCAUCGAGGUUAAAACUGCUUUUUCAUUGGUUUACAAUUUUUAUGACCAAUUCAUGUCAACUAUUUUAGAUUUUUUUUAUUGCUUUCUGUUAGCAUCAAGAUAGUGCUUUUCUUUAACAGUAGUUGCAACAAUAAUGAAUAAUACCAAAUAGAUUUAGAAUCUUUAAAACAAGUGGGAAACCAGAAAUUUUCUGAGAUAUUCCUGAGGGUUUUGUCCAUCCUUAAUAUAAUUUCAUUGAUCAAUGCUGACAUCGUAAAUUGUUGAUCAUAUAUGAUAAUUGCUGGACAUAUUUCUAAUCUUUUAUUUGGCUAGAAGCAUGUGGUGAAUCCUUUCUUUGAUUAUUUCAUUAUAGGUAGGGUAGCUCAGACUCUUUAAAUUUGGUUAUGACCCCAUAAUUAAUGUCAGCACUACCUUGUUGUGGAUGUCUUGAUUUUGCUAUUUCAGUAACAUGGCAUCUAAGCAUUGCUAUGUCCUGGUGUGGCAGUUAUGUAAUUUUGCGUACUGUCUGCUGGACAACUAUGCAUUUUGCUUCUGCUAUUCUUACAUCUUCAUUUGUUCCUGCUAUUUCUUACAUCUUCAAUUGUUCCUGCUAUUUCUUACAUCUUCAA
rnacentral:misc_RNA from 1 species